rnacentral:rRNA from 1 species
CGAGCGGGGGAGGGUGCUUUGCGUACACUGACCUAGCGGCGGACGGGUGAGUAAUGCUUAGGAAUCUGCCUAUUAGUGGGGGACAACAUUCCGAAAGGAAUGCUAAUACCGCAUACGCCCUACGGGGGAAAGCAGGGGAUCUUCGGACCUUGCGCUAAUAGAUGAGCCUAAGUCAGAUUAGCUAGUUGGUGGGGUAAAGGCCUACCAAGGCGACGAUCUGUAGCGGGUCUGAGAGGAUGAUCCGCCACACUGGGACUGAGACACGGCCCAGACUCCUACGGGAGGCAGCAGUGGGGAAUAUUGGACAAUGGGCGCAAGCCUGAUCCAGCCAUGCCGCGUGUGUGAAGAAGGCCUUUUGGUUGUAAAGCACUUUAAGCGAGGAGGAGGCUACUUGGAUUAAUACUCUAGGAUAGUGGACGUUACUCGCAGAAUAAGCACCGGCUAACUCUGUGCCAGCAGCCGCGGUAAUACAGAGGGUGCGAGCGUUAAUCGGAUUUACUGGGCGUAAAGCGUGCGUAGGCGGCUUUUUAAGUCGGAUGUGAAAUCCCUGAGCUUAACUUAGGAAUUGCAUUCGAUACUGGGAAGCUAGAGUAUGGGAGAGGAUGGUAGAAUUCCAGGUGUAGCGGUGAAAUGCGUAGAGAUCUGG